AUAAGUUUAAAUAGCAUAUCAGUAAGUUGGCUUUCUCAAGCCAACUUAAUAAUAAUAAGUUUAAAUAGCAUAUCAGUAAGUUGGCUUUCUCAAGCCAACUUAAUAAGUUUAAAUAGCAUAUCAGUAAGUUGGCUUUCUCAAGCCAACUUAAUAAUAAUAAUAAUAAGCACGCAGAAUAGUAAUAGUGAUGCUUUGCCUUUGGCAAGCACCACUAACUAGAUAUGUACAUUUCCUGAAGAAAAUGUGAGUGGUGCUUGCCGUGGCAAAACUCGGCACUCGGUUGCUAGGGAGUUGCUAUGUGGUUGCUAGGGUACCCAGGGUGGUUGCUAGGGUGUUGCUAUGCGGUUGCUAGGGUACUCGGGGUGGUUGCUAGGGCGGUUGCUAAGGUACCCAGGGUGGUUGCUAAGGUGUUGCUAUGCGGUUGCUAGGGUAACCGGGGUGGUUGCUAGGGUGUUGCUAUGCGGUUGCUAGGGUACUUGGGGUGGUUGCUAGGGCGGUUGCUAAGGUACUUGGGGUGGUUGCUAGAGUGUUGUUAGGCAGUUACUAGUUGUCACAGAUCAUUACUAUGGAGUUUUAUAGAGUUCUUAGCCUGAUUUAACACUUAGCUAAUCACUAUUAGCAUGUAGCUAUUCACUGCUAGCAUGACUAGCAUCUUAAGGAUUCCU